CAUGUCUUGCUUGAUUGCAGUGUGUUUUUGUUUACAAGCAACACUAUGCCGAUUUUGCGCUCCAGGAUGUAUCGGCUUAUUUGUUUGGGUCUGAAUAUUGUGGCAGUGUUUCUGCAUUUGGAGAUUUUAACUCUGACAAGCAGUCUGAUAUUUCAUCAUCAGAGAACAUACUGAGCUCGUGGCAGAGUUGGAAGUUCCAUACUUCAAGCCUAAAGUACAUCCACCCAAAGAGGUCUUCCCUAAUGAUGCCAUCAUCAGCAGCAUAGUUCCUGCCGACCACAAUGGAGACUCCCAGAUGGAUGCCUCCCCACAACCCAUCCCAGGAGAAAGUCCUCUUUGGAGACAACUGUUUAUG